rnacentral:rRNA from 1 species
GACGAACCGUACGAACGUUAUUCGGAAUUACUGGCUUAAAGGGUGCGUAGGCUGCGCGGAAAGUUGGGUGUGAAAUCCCUCGGCUCAACCGAGGAACUGCGCCCAAAACUACCGUGCUCGAGGGAGACAGAGGUGAGCGGAACUUAGGGUGGAGCGGUGAAAUGCGUUGAUAUCCUAAGGAACACCCGUGGCGAAAGCGGCUCACUGGGUCUCUUCUGACGCUGAGGCACGAAAGCUAGGGUAGCGAACGGGA